rnacentral:pre_miRNA from 1 species
UGUAUGUAUGUGUAUAUGUGUGUUUGCACACGUGUAUGCGUAUAUAUAUAUACACACACAUGUGCAAACACACAUAUACACAUUCCUACA